CGCACUUUACCAUUUUAACUGACAAAUCAAAAUAUUUGCUUUUCAGUUAAUAAAUUGAUACAAAGGUGUAAAUGUUCUCCAUGUUUCUGUUCGGCUCUUCCCAGUUAGAAGUCAACUCUCAGAGGAUCAUCAGCUCGUCGCUUCCGAAGAUUGUUCGAGAAGGUCCAAAGCAUCAAUGUUUUUAAAACGAAAAUUCUCGAAAGUUAUCACGAAUGA